rnacentral:rRNA from 1 species
UACGAAGGGGGCUAGCGUUGCUCGGAAUUACUGGGCGUAAAGGGCGCGUAGGCGGACAGUUUAGUCAGAGGUGAAAGCCCAGGGCUCACCUUGGAAUUGCCUUUGAUACUGGCUGUCUUGAGUUCGGGAGAGGUGAGUGGAAUGCCGAGUGUAGAGGUGAAAUUCGUAGAUAUUCGGCGGAACACCAGUGGCGAAGGCGACUCACUGGCCCGAUACUGACGCUGGAGGCACGAAAGCGUGGGGAGCAAACAGG